rnacentral:misc_RNA from 1 species
AAACUGCGAUAAGUAGUGUGAAUUGCAUUUAGUGAAUCAUCGAAUCUUUGAACGCACCCUGCACUCACUGGUAUUCCGGUGAGUACGCCUGUUUCAGUAUCAUUGAAAACACACAAUCAAAACAUUUUCUUUGGUUUGAUUGGCUUUGGGUCUAUCAAAAAGUUUGGCUUGUUUCUUACAAGCCAAGCGGCCUGAAAUAUAUUGUCUGGCUAAUUGCAUCGUUGAUGAUCGCUAUUAGACUUUGGCUUUUUUAAAUGAACUGGAGGUUGAUUAACCAGUUUUAGCUUUAGUCAAAUGGUCAUUGUAAAAAAAAUCUCUAUCUUGGCUAGGUGUUUAUAGCCGAAAAUUUUUUUUUGGCUAUAACCGAAACCAAUAUAAUCACAUUUAGUUAUCGAUCUGAAAUCAGGUGGGACUACCCGCUGAACUUAAGC